UUGAGAAUAUUUUUGCUGUUCUGAUUUUGUAAUAAUCAGGACAGGUCAAACAUUCGCUAUAAUAAUACUAUGCAUGUGUCCCCAGACCUAGUUUUGUACCUGCCUAAGUCUGGUCUUAGAAAUGCUGGUGAUAAAU